UCGGAGUAAAAUAGUGAGAAGCCGACAAGGGGAAGUGAUCGACCCUUAGGAUAAGUUUAAAUUUGCUUUUUUUACUCCAUAAACUUUUUACCGUGGAUAAAAAGAUUCUUCUUCGGGUAAAAAAAAUCAAAUUAAAAUUUAGACCAAGUGUUGAUGAUGUAUUUUUUCCAUGAAGGUUGCUCACUAUUUUACCCCAU
rnacentral:pre_miRNA from 1 species